AUUGAACGCUGGCGGCAUGCUUUACACAUGCAAGUCGAACGGUAACAGGCCGCAAGGUGCUGACGAGUGGCGAACGGGUGAGUAAUGCAUCGGAACGUGCCCAGUCGUGGGGGAUAACUACUCGAAAGAGUAGCUAAUACCGCAUACGAUCUAUGGAUGAAAGCGGGGGACCGUAAGGCCUCGCGCGAUUGGAGCGGCCGAUGUCAGAUUAGGUAGUUGGUGGGGGAAGGGCUCACCAAGCCAACGAUCUGUAGCUGGUCUGAGAGGACGACCAGCCACACUGGGACUGAGACACGGCCCAGACUCCUACGGGAGGCAGCAGCGGGGAAUUUUGGACAAUGGGCGCAAGCCUGAUCCAGCAAUGCCGCGUGCAGGAAGAAGGCCUUCGGGUUGUAAACUGCCUUUGUACGGAACGAAACGGCUCUGGUUAAUACCCGGGGCUAAUGACGGUACCGUAAGAAUAAGCACCGGCUAACUACGUG
rnacentral:rRNA from 1 species